AAUGGCGAUCAUUGGCUCCUAUUUCCCCAUGAGACUGGCGGACAUUGCUCCUAUUCACCUGACUCAACAUAUAUAUGCUCCUCGCGGAUCUACAAAAUCCAAACUGAAAAUCAGCAGAUCAAUAGAAGGACACCAAGUAAAAGGUACUGAGUUUAGCAAGGAUUUUUUUGAUGAGCAGUGUAAAGAAACAAGCUCCAAUUGUAUCGGAGAGGCAGUAGCAUAAUUGAUUUGAGAGAGGAAAACUCCGAUCGCACAUCAUACAGCUUACUCAAAAGUAAGGUAUCUUUAAUAAUGAAAAUAUUAUACAAUAUGAAUUCAUAUUAAUAUUGAAACAAGAUGUUGAUGACAUAUCUAUCACUCAAGAACAUUAAAUAAAAAGAUUGAAGAACUACAAGCCAGUGAACAUGUCAAGGUUGUAACAUAGACCCGAGUCUCUAUGUGAGUCACGUAGGAUGUUUCAGAUCACAAGGCCUAUUAUUUCACCAAAGCAAUGGUACGUCUUAUUAACACAAACAAGACUAAGUAAUUGAAAAUGAUAGAAGGGCAGCCCGGUGCAAUAGACUCCUGUGGUCUGGCCCUCUUUCCCCGACCCUACGCAUAGCUCUCUGUGACCUUGGAAUAACUGAUAAUGUUGUUGUCAUGUGACCAAGGAGGUCACGGGUUCAAGUCUUGGAAACAGCCUCUGGCAGAACUGCAAGGUAAGAUUGUGUACAAUACACCCUUGUGGUGGGGCCCUUCCCCAAACCCUACGCAUAGCUACGAUGCUUCACACUGCAAUCUUUUCUUUUGGAGAAAUGACAUUCGCUUUGGUGCUUAAGAAGCAACCUAUGAUGAUAUUCUCUUGUUUUUUCUCUUUUUUCAUUUUUUUUUGGUUCCUUUCUUAACUUGUAAAGUUGAGUAUGUCGCAGUUGCCUAAUGUGUUAGUCAUACAAUGUGGUGUUGGAAGUUGAUAAAGAUGCUACAAGAGCAAGCUACUAUUGAUAAUAUUGCGUCUUACUAAGAAGUACCAUUGCUUUGGUGAAAGAAUGGUCCUUAUGAUGUUAGGAUCGAUACAAUAUUCAAAAUCCAAAAACUAAGUAAAGUAACCCUAAAAUGUUUCUUAUAUAGUGUAUUUCAAAUAGAAGGCAAAAAGUCCAAAAUGUCCCUUAGAGAUUAGGUGCCCCUCUAGUGUGAAUUAGUGGCACAUGGACGAAUUCAAUACACAUCCUCAUAAGUCCAUCUACGUUGUAUCAGCGAUUCUAAUAAGGAAAAUAUCAUUUCGUGCAUUUGUUGUUUCUGAUGCCAUUGCCUUCACAUGCUCAGCUAUUCCCAUAUUCAUCUACUUCCUCGUGGCACUCAUGGCAGAUACAAGCACAAGUCCUCUAAUAUUAAAAUUUUAGAGAAGGUUUAUGAUCUCGCAAGUAAAUGUCUGUCCUUGUCAAUGUUAGCUGUUGUAAUUGCAUUCGCAAUGGGUAUGUUUGCUACUUUAUCACAUUCACUUGGUCUUGCCGUUACUGUCUGUUAUUUAUAUGGGAAGCUUUGUAAUCAGAGACAUCAUUGCUAGAUUCGACUUGCAUCUUAGAUCCUAAAGUGUGAAUUGGGAAAGUAGCUUAGUGAUUAGGUGGUACAGCUUAGGCCACGUGUCCAUGUGGCAGCCAUUGGAUGAGAUGAAAUAAACGUACGAGAUGAUGAGUGACAGCUGGAUCAGGCCUAAGCGGUUAUAUCAACACAAGUGGAGCUGAGCCACUGAACUAUUAUCAAUAAAAUUCCAAUUCUGUUCGGCUGAAUCUUCGAUUCGAUUAAGAUUUAAGGGACAUAAUAACAUUGUACUUAUUGCUUGCAAAUAUAGAAUUCAACUAUGUUUUUUUAAUCCA